rnacentral:lncRNA from 1 species
AAAACUUUUUUUUUUUUUUUAUAUCGGCCCUAAUUAAAUCGGCCAUUCCGAUUAAUCGGUCGACCGCUACAUUCAACCAAAAUGUGUCUUCAGCAUUUAACCCAACCCCUCAAUCAGAUUGCAAGCUUGUCAUGAUGUUGGCCCUUACUCAUAGUUACUUGUUUUAACCCAAAAUAGGUUUACUCCAAUAUCUGCAUUGUUUUUAAAAUGGCAUGUAGACAAACAAAUUGGUACAUCUUGAUUUUCAAUUUUUGUUUUCAAAAUUUACAAGUAAAACGUACAGUUUCAAAGAAACGUUCAGAAAUGUAUAUUUUGAAAUUGUCUGAUUUAAAAAGGUCAACCCUGUUACUUUAUUUGGGCACUUCAAAACACAUUUUAUUUGUCACAUGCGCCGAAUACAACAGGUGUUAAACUUAACCGUGAAAUGCUUGCUUACAGCCCUUCCCAACAAUGCAAAGUUAAAAACAAAUAUGGGGAUUGUAACAAGAGGAAUAGAAUACACAAUAAUGAAGCAAUAUACAGGGAGUACCAGAUCAAUGUGCAGCUAUAUACAGGGAGUACCAGAUCAAUGUGCAGCUAUAUACAGGGAGUACCAGAUCAAUGUGCAGCUAUAUACAGGGAGUACCAGAUCAAUGUGCAGCUAUAUACAGGGAGUACCAGAUCAAUGUGCAGCUAUAUACAGGGAGUACCAGAUCAAUGUGCAGCAAUAUACAGGGAGUACCAGUACCAGAUCAAUGUGCAGCUAUAUACAGGGAGUACCAGAUCAAUAUGCAGCUAUAUACAGGGAGUACCAGAUCAAUGUGCAGCAAUAUACAGGGAGUACCAGAUCAAUGUGCAGCAAUAUACAGGGAGUACCAGAUCAAUGUGCAGCUAUAUACAGGGAGUACCAGUACCAGAUCAAUGUGCAGCUAUAUACAGGGAGUACCAGAUCAAUAUGCAGCUAUAUACAGGGAGUACCAGAUCAAUAUGCAGCUAUAUACAGGGAGUACCAGAUCAAUGUGCAGCUAUAUACAGGGAGUACCAGAUCAAUAUGCAGCUAUAUACAGGGAGUACCAGAUCAAUAUGCAGCAAUAUACAGGGAGUACCAGAUCAAUGUGCAGCUAUAUACAGGGAGUACCAGAUCAAUGUGGAGCAAUAUACAGGGAGUACCAGAUCAAUGUGGAGCUAUAUACAGGGAGUACCAGAUCAAUGUGGAGCUAUAUACAGGGAGUACCAGAUCAAUGUGCAGCUGUAUACAGGGAGUACCAGAUCAAUGUGGAGCUAUAUACAGGGAGUACCAGAUCAAUGUGGAGCUAUAUACAGGGAGUACCAGAUCAAUGUGCAGCUGUAUACAGGGAGUACCAGUACCAGAUCAAGGAGAUAAAUGUGCAGGAUAAAGUGACUAGGCAUCAGGACAGACAAUAAUAAAAUAAAGUACAGAGUAGCAGCAGAUGAGUGGAACAGUGUGUGUAUAUAUGCUUCCUAAAUGGCUUACUAUAGUCAUUUAUUUGUUUUACAUCUUUAGACGAGAAAACAUGUUUUUAUCAAGUUGUGUUGACAGAAUGUUAACAUUAGUUGAAAUAAAAAUUACACUAACCAAAAUAUACUCAAUUGGUGGCAGAACCCACACACUCAGUCCUCAGCCCUAGGCUCAAUGCCAACAAGGUGUCCACUCAGCCCUACUAACCUAGGCUCAAUGCCAACAAGGUGUCCACUCAGCCCUACUAACCUAGGCUCAAUGCCAACAAGGUAUCCACUCAGCCCUACUAACCUAGGCUCAAUGCCAACAAGGUAUCCACUCAGCCCUACUAACCUAGGCUCAAUGCCAACAAGGUAUCCACUCAGCCCUAC